rnacentral:rRNA from 1 species
UACGUAGGGUGCGAGCGUUAAUCGGAAUUACUGGGCGUAAAGCGUGCGCAGGCGGUUUUGUAAGUCAGAUGUGAAAUCCCCGGGCUUAACCUGGGAAUGGCAUUUGGGACUGCAAGGCUGGAGUGUGGCAGAGGAGACUGGAAUUCCCGGUGUAGCAGUGAAAUGCGUAGAUAUCAGGAGGAACACCGGUGGCGAAGGCGGUUCUCUGGGCAUUACCUGACGCUGAGGAGCGAAAGUGUGGGGAGCAAACAGG